rnacentral:tRNA from 2 species
GCCAGCUUAGCUCAAUUGGCAGAGCAACCGCCUUGUAAGCGGUAGGUUAUCGGUUCGAUUCCGAUAGCUGGCUCCA